UGUUGCCCUAUCAGUAAACUAGGGCUAUUAUUGUUCACUUUGUAAACACUAAAUGGAGGAAACUGAGCACAUAAUCAUGGAACCCAACCAUCUGUGAGGUUGCAUUGUGGUACAUGGUGGGGGCCCAGAAGUGAUGCUGAUCAAUUCCUAUCUCUGUCAAAAGAUGAUUGAGACAUUCAUAGGAAGGAAGUUGCUUGAAAAAGGAGGCACUGAAGUUCACACACAUGUGGGAGACAUUUCGGCUGUUACCAAGUGGAAAGGAGUUUGUCCGCCUACACACUCAGAAGACCAGGAGAUGUGUGUCUGGGCCUGGCUUAGAGGCUGCUGGCUUGCUCUACUGUAGCAGGUGGUGCGCAUUUUCCAUUUACAAGAAAACACUACAUGUAGGCAGCAAAGAGGAGGUGCUGUCAUCUAUUCCUGCAUCGAACACAGUCGAUCUAAACUACUUUGUGGCAGCAUGAA